GAAUUGUAGGGGACACAAACCUGCAGUCCACUGUGGUGGGUGCAUAAAUAACAUGGCUCCCUCAAAUCACAGGGAAGACUUCUGAGGAAGGAGAGGACAAGGCCACAAGGGGUCAGCCUGUUGAAGACGGUUAUUACAUUACCAUCAAAUCAACCAAGAGCAUACGUGCUGUAUAAGUUUCUUAGGGCAGCCACAGCAAAGCACCACAGACUGCGAGCUUAAGCCACAGAGAUUUACUCUCCCUGACAGUCUGGAGGCCAGAAGUCCAAGAUGAAGGUCACAUGCGGAGGUGCUGGGGGUGAGGACUUCAGGAGGG